UUUGUUGUGAAACAGUUACAGGUAGGAGUUGAAUUUGAAGCCAGCACAAGGAUGCAAGACACUUCAGCAUCUUUUGGUUACCAACUGGACCUUCCCAAAGCCAAUUUGCUUUUUAAAGGAACGAUUGACAGUAAUUGGGUGGUAGGGGCAACCAUUGAAAAGAAACUAGUACCUCUGCCUCUUACUUUGGCUUUGGGGGCUUUCCUCAACCAUCGCAAAAACAAGUUCCAAUGUGGCUUUGGAGUCACUAUUGGGUAAAGGUGGAUGGGGCGACUGGAACCACCUACAGACCACGGCUUGGACUGGCACAGAGACACACAGGAAGCUGAACUACGUUUUAGGAAUUGGAUUCAAAGACUCUUUUACUACUGUGAUUUCUGGGGCUGAUGGGGAGAAAAAAA